rnacentral:rRNA from 1 species
CUGGCGGCAGGCCUAACACAUGCAAGUCGAGCGCUCACUUCGGUGGGAGCGGCGGACGGGUUAGUAACGCGUGGGAAUAUACCCGGUACUAAGGAAUAGCCUUUGGAAACGAAGAGUAAUACCUUAUACGCCCUUCGGGGGAAAGAUUUAUCGGUAUCGGAUUAGCCCGCGUAAGAUUAGAUAGUUGGUGGGGUAAUGGCCUACCAAGUCUACGAUCUUUAGCUGGUUUUAGAGGAUGAUCAGCAACACUGGGACUGAGACACGGCCCAGACUCCUACGGGAGGCAGCAGUGGGGAAUCUUAGACAAUGGGCGCAAGCCUGAUCUAGCCAUGCCGCGUGUGUGAUGAAGGCCCUAGGGUCGUAAAGCACUUUCGCCAGAGAUGAUAAUGACAGUAUCUGGUAAAGAAACCCCGGCUAACUCCGUGCCAGCAGCCGCGGUAAUACGGAGGGGGUUAGCGUUGUUCGGAAUUACUGGGCGUAAAGCGCACGUAGGCGGAUUAGUAAGUUAGAGGUGAAAUCCCAGGGCUCAACCCUGGAACUGCCUUUAAUACUGCUAGUCUUGAGUUCGAGAGAGGUAAGUGGAAUUCCGAGUGUAGAGGUGAAAUUCGUAGAUAUUCGGAGGAACACCAGUGGCGAAAGCGGCUUACUGGCUCGAUACUGACGCUGAGGUGCGAAAGUGUGGGGAGCAAACAGGAUUAGAUACCCUGGUAGUCCACACCGUAAACGAUGAAUGCCAGACGUCAGCAAGUAUACUUGUUGGUGUCACACCUAACGGAUUAAGCAUUCCGCCUGGGGAGUACGGUCGCAAGAUUAAAACUCAAAGGAAUUGACGGGGGCCCGCACAAGCGGUGGAGCAUGUGGUUU